CAUCUGAUACAUUCGGAGCUGCCCCGGUUCUCUGUGCUUGCCUUAUAACAUCAAUGGGGUUUGCAUCCCACCACUCACCUGAUCAUCAUUGUUAUCAAACUUCAGUGUUUCUCUUGCAGGCUUAGGGAAUGGAUAGGAUUCCCCCUUUCUCGGGCGGAUGAUAAGAGCUCCAUAAACGGUCGCCCUGAGCCACGAGCUGUGUGCAUGCCACCAUAGUGUUCCUUCCUGACCAUUGAUCGUGAAUCUGUAAGUAUAGCUCCCUCCCGGCCUAAUUGGGCACUGUGUAAUAAACUCCGGUCCAUCUGCCCAUGCUGUUCUAAUCUGCCUGACACCAUGCCUGAAUUGGCACAUAAUGAAAAGAGAAAACAAAACUUUAAGAAGUCAAUAAAUUCAUUUUCUUUAUUCGCGAAUGUGUUUACUAAUACUUUGCAUGCAUAUAUGCUCUGCUUGACAAACCUACCAGUGAAUGGUUGCAUUGUAUUUUGCUUUAUUGACAACCUUGAUCUCUAAGGUAUCACCAUUGUGAACUUCCAAGGUUGGUCCAGGGAACUUCCCAUUCACUGUUAUUGCGUUAUGGGUUUUGCACAGCCUCUUCACUGGUGUUGCUUCAAUCUGUUACACAACAACUCACAUCAGACAAAUAGAAAAGCCAAGAAACGAGAAAGGAAGCACGA